UUCUUUCCUGAAUCAAGGACAAUGCCAGGCUUUUGGGCGUGGAGGCCCUCUCUACAUGAAUUCCCAUAUGAGGCUCUUCUAUUUCAACAGCCUCCAAAUUGGAAUGUAUUUUGAAGCCCCCCAUACAGCCCCCUGUUGUCAUUGACCCUAAAUCUGCAGGCACAGGAAAUUGGUCCACACCCUGCUCUGUACGGCUGCCCUGCCCCCAGCAGGAAGUGGCUGGCUCAGGAGGUGGUGUCUCAGAUUCCAAGGCAGAAGUCACUGAGAAGUUGUUCAGUGACCAGGGUCAAGGGUUGGCCGUUUCUAAGGCUGAGUGUGGCAGAGGGCACCAGGAGCUUGUCUUGCUGGUGGAGCUGGGGAACCCCAGGACCCGUGCGCCUCAAACCUGGGCCAGGAGUGAGGAGCUGGCCUCCCCUAGGCUGAACUUGACUCACAGACCGGUUUGGUGUGGGCCAUCCAGUUGAAAGGAGUUGUCAAUGUUUAAUAUUUGCUAGGCUUCACAGAAAAUUUAAACUUGGAAUAUUUUUCUGAAAAUGUGGAUGAUCAGGACCAAGUUAUUCU
rnacentral:lncRNA from 1 species